rnacentral:rRNA from 1 species
UACGUAGGGUGCGAGCGUUAAUCGGAAUUACUGGGCGUAAAGCGUGCGCAGGCGGCUUUGCAAGACAGAUGUGAAAUCCCCGGGCUCAACCUGGGAACUGCAUUUGUGACUGCAAGGCUAGAGUACGGCAGAGGGGGAUGGAAUUCCGCGUGUAGCAGUGAAAUGCGUAGAUAUGCGGAGGAACACCAAUGGCGAAGGCAAUCCCCUGGGCCUGUACUGACGCUCAUGCACGAAAGCGUGGGCAGCAAACAGG